UUUUUGUUUUGUUUAUUAUGUAUAUAUGAGGACUGUGUUUACAGAUCUGCAUGGUGCAGCAAGCAAGAAUAUCCUUGUUCUGUUUCCAGUACAUAUGACAAUUAAACACUCUUGGCUCUUCAUCUGCCAUGUAGAGGGAAUAGCAAUCUGUGAAAGCUACCCCAUAUUUACUUGUGAUCAUUUUUAUAUAAGCAAUGAUAUGAUACUUUUUCAUUGAGAAGUCACCAGAGGGUGCUGUGUUCCUGUAACAUGUGGGUCAUAGGUUGAAGCUGCAGGAAUGUGAGCAGAAAAAAUGCAAUUUCAUUCAAUUAUAUAGCAUGGAGGCAAGCCCUUUGGCUCAUUAAAUCUCCACUGACCUCAUUUACAAUAACCCCACUUUAUUUCCCCAUCAACACACCCCAGAUUCUGUCUGCCAGGGUGAAUUUACUUUGGCAGGAAAGCAGAAAUAAAAAGCAAAACUGCUGGAAGACAGUGGAAGACAUACUGGUUUGUAGCUUAAUUGGCUUCUGUAAGUUGGAAAUUGUCCCUGGUGUGUAUGAUAGUGCUAGUGUACGGGGUGAUCGCUGGUCGGCACGGACUCGGUGGGCCGAUGGGCCUGUUUCCACGCUGUAUCUCUAAACUAAAGUCUAACUCAGCAGGUAUGCCAGCAUGCGCGGAGAGAGAAACAAAACUAACAUUUCAGGUCCGUGACUUUUUUUGUCGGAAUUGCCAAAAACGAACAUGUUUUAAGUUGCAGAACAGGGGCAGUGGGGAGAACAAAGGGAAUACACAUGAAGGAGUGCCAAUGUAAGAUUGUUCAGACUACUUGAAAUGCCGUUGAUGCCGUCCGAGAGAAGGAAGAAGUGGCACAUCACCAAUGAUCCCUGGGAAUCUCUGGCCCGUGACCACUCAAAGUGGAGAAGCAGCACUUUGGAAAGCAUUGAGGAUCUUGAGGCCAUGCACAAUGGGCCCCUACGGAAUCAGCAGGAGUGCAUCACCUCAAGAAAUAUCCACCUGUAAACUCCUGCCUAAUGCGUGGGGGUGAGUCCCACUGCAAGUCCCACAUGGACUUCAUCAGCCUCUUCAAAAUCCAUUCUUCUUCCUCCGUCUGCUCCUCUUCUGGGAGUGCUCUCUGAACCAUGUAACCAUGACAUCUUUAUGAUCAAGCACCAAUAUUGUCAAUCACAAUUAAAUCGAAGGCGAUGUCGCAAACGGUCUGAAACA